AUUGAUUGUUCUUGAAAUGUGUUUCUAUAAAAUUUGUUUUCUUCAUGAUCAUCUUCAAUUAGUGUGAGUCAAGGUAUCGCCGUUUGUUAUUUAGAAUUGGUGCUAUAUAUUAUGAGCAUUACUAAAGUACCUGCCAUUCUAGUCUGUCAUUUAUUAUGUGAAUUUUUCCACUCGCGAUUUCUAGGUUGAUCUAUUAGAGAUAAAAGUUAAAACACCAACUGCACUAUAGUAUAUAUAGGUUGAGGAGGUUCAAGUCUUUCUCUUUUAAAUUGCCAAGAAUAAAACUAGAGUUGUUGUGGCCUUGUGGGUAUUAAUUGGGCAUUGCGCGUAUUUAAUCUGCAUUUAACAAUUUUAAGCCAGUCUCUGUGGCUCAGAAAGAAGCACUCAAAAGUUAUGAAAAAGUACUAUCAUGAAACUAAAAUUUGAACCAGCGACCGAUAUGGAACGAGCUUCUAGUAGGAACCCUACAAUCAAAACUGGAAACCAAAGCCCGAAAGAUACGGAAACCAAAGUCCUGAGUUUCGCUGGAAAUUGAAACUGGUAGGACCGUAGGAGUUGUUAGUCCUCCGAAACCAAAGAAAAAUAUAAAACUUAAAACAAUGCAGCAUGAAGAAAACGUUGUAUCAUAAAUUAAUGGCAAAUGCAAAGAUCUCACUAGUCACUUAGAAAGAUGUUAUGUCAAUCACACCUAUAUGUAAAGAGGCAACCAUUGCCACUUUCCCAAACUAUAUGAAAGAAGAACAAAUAAGCCCCAACCAUCAAGUGAUGACAGAGAGUGACUGACAUUAACGGAAUUAAAAUUAGAUGAGUUUUUUUGUCGAAUUUUUAUCUUCGAGUCAUGCCGUCUAAAAUACCGCGACGGAGGAUUACAAACGUUAACGGAAUUAAAGUUGAAGGUUUUUUCGUCAAAUUUUUAGUUGAGGAGUUUAUUUACGAUUCAUCUUUAGUUAAGAGGUUUAAUUACUAAGAACGCUUUUAUUUAUUUACUUUAUGUUUUUGUAUUAUGGCGAACAACCAUAUCUUUAAUCUUGUAAAAUUAUUAUUAAAUUUUUUAUUAAUCAUUUAUAAAAGUAUUAAAAUGUUUAUAAAGCUUUAUAAAUCGGUUAUAAAAUUGAUAAAGUAAUGUGUAAAAAUUUAUAAAUUAUUUUAAAGGCUUAUAAAUCGAUUGUAAGAGUUUUAAAUAAUGCAUAAGUGGAUAAAAUAGUUAAUUCCAUUUAGUAAUAAACCUUCUCAAUUAAAGAUGAAUUGUAAAAUAACCUCUCAACUAAAAGUUCGACGAAAGAAACCCUCAACUUUAAUUUCGUUAAUGUUUGUACCAUCCGUCUAAAAUACCUUGACAGAUGGUGAAAAAGAAUUAAUGUUGAGGGUUUUUUUCGUUGAAUUUUUAGUUGAUUGGUUUAUUUACGAUUCAUCUUUAGUCGAGGGGUUUAAUUACUAAAAAUUCUAAAUAUAACUUUGUGUUUUGGUUUUGUGCAACCAGUUAUGUAUACCUUGCUGUUAUUUUUCUUUCAUUAACAUGUAUAAAAAUACAUAUGUUUAUUUACUGGAAACAAUAAAUAAAUAGCUACGUUCGAUCUAGUUUUUAGUAUUUCCCGUCUUUUGUUUGAGUUUAUGAAUCCUUUUUUCUUCUUCUGAAUUUCGUUUUGGGAGAUUUAUCGGCGAAAAUGAACUUUUUUGUACUUCUAUUUCAUAUUUUUACAAAGCGUCUAGAGAGAGAAUUAUAAACACCCGAGUUUGAUUCUCUUAGUUGACAUCGUAUUGUCUCGGAUUCAAUAUAUUUCUAAUAAACGAGAUUUUUUUUUAAGAGAUCAAACGUUAAAAACGGCUACUUUCUCUCUCAUCUAGUGCGACGCGUUAGGCGAUUCCUUCCCCCACCGUGACUCAGACUCCGGCCGCUCACCGACGUCUAAUUAGGCGUCGGACCCUCGCCAAUUGCUCAGCUCCUUCUCCCCUGAGGGAGAUGAAGAUGAAGAAGAAGAAACCCAAAAAAUCACCCCCUCGAAGACGUCUCCGAAGUCGAAUCUGACGAGACCGUCCUCCCCACCUGUUAAGAUUAUUGAGAAAGUCCCCUUCUUUCUAGCUGAUAAGUGAUAAGGAAGUUUCUGAUGCCCAAUUUGACUCUCCAGUCGAUGCGGUUGCUCAACUCCCGGUUAGCCACUCAGACACGAACUCUCAAUCUGAAGUAUCUCCACCAGGCACGAUUGUGUUCGCCGAGCAGUCAGCAGAUCCAGCCUUAGCUUGCAACGAAGUUCUCUUCAGCCAACAUGAGUCGAGCUCCAAAGGUCUUCCCCCGAGCCCCUCUGCAACCCUACCGGUAGAAUCUGAAAUCGCUGAAGAUUUUAUUUCCCCUGGUACCCUUACAAUCGUAGCUAAUGCUGAUGCCAAUGUAAACCAUUUGAGCUCGCAACAAGCAAAUGUGAACGACCUAACCUCUGUCAAGGACCAAGAGGAGGUUUCAAAUGCCGAUGCAACAAGAGUAGCUAACUCUGUUCCAAACAGUGAUGCGAUUAAGGAAACUAGCCCUGAUCUUCCACCACCCAUAUAAGGACAAGCAUCACAAGAAAAACCUUUGGCUCCUUCUAAAGAAACUUGGUGUGAUCUUGCUAAAGGAGUUAAGCGACUCUCAAAAAAGGGUGAAGCUUUCACUCUUCCGUCAGGAGAAGCUUGUGUAAAGAUCCCCAAUUCGGUUAUUGAGAAAAAACAGGAAAUCUUGGGAGCCUUUUGUGCUUGGACAGUUCUACUCUGAUCCUCCUACUCAAGGUACUUUGCACAACAUUGUAAAUGGAAUCUGGAGCAAGCAGUAUCGGGACAUUGCGGUUUCAAAAAUGGAAGGCUUCGCAAUCCUUUUCAGAAUUCCAAAUGCAGCGACCCGAGCUAGGGUGAUCAAGCAGAAGCUAUGGCAGAUUGAAGGUCAGACAAUGUUUGUAGAUAAAUGGGAACCAGGUGUUGUGCCUACCAAGCCCGAGCUUACUUCCGCCCCCAUCUGGUUGGAACUUAGGAAAGUCCUUCUUCAGUUCUUUAAUGAGGAUGGCCUGGAGCGCAUUGCGGGACUGGUGGGGCAUCCCAAAUUCCUUCACCCAAUGACAGCUAACAAAAGUAAUUUGGAGGUUGCCAAGGUGUUUACUAUCAUCGAUCCUAGGAAGCCCCUACCCGAGGCAGUCAACGUGCAGUUCGACUCGGGAGAAAUCAGUAGGGUACUUGUUUCAAGUCCCUGGAUGCCACCAGUAUGCGACAUUUGUAAAGAAAUAGGACACGCAGCCAGACGUUGUCCCAGAGCUCCUAAGGUUUGCACCCUGUGUGGCUCGGUAGAUCAUGUGCGCUCGAAAUGUACUCAAAAGCCUGUGCAAAAUAGACAUGAGCGACAUGACAAACAAGAUCAGCAGGAGCCUAAAGGAAAGAAAACAAGGAGAGGGAGAUCAAAAGAUAAACAGAAUUGGGUCAUGAUCAAUCCUCCUACAGGUGCUUCUACUCCCUCGCAGGAAACUCACGUCAACCAACCUGCACCAACCAUCCCUCCUCAAUCUAAUCCAAUUGUGAAAUCUGUGCUGGAACUUCCUCUUCAGACCAAGCUGGGCACUGAAAAGGACAUGGUUAGAGGGGAAACCAGUGGCGCUGCGAACUAUCUUCAUCCUCCUAUACGCAGGAACAACUCAGGUGUUUCUCGGUCCUCUCAUUCAGACGUUCAGCCUGACUCUUCGGAUGUAGAAUCCAAAGACUCGGAGUUGGAAGAAGGUGAAUUCAGUAGACACGAACCAGAUUUCGAGGUUGUACGGAACAAAAAAAGAUUCUCAUGACUGAAAGAAAAGCGGGGCAAGGGCCCCAAACUACAUUAAAUUAUGUCGUCAGACCUUUUUUGCUGGAACAUACGCGGUUUAAAUAAAUACAGUCACCGCAGCGGAUUACGUAAAUGGUUUAGGAAGAACUCUCCUCUUUUUGGCGCUUUGCUUGAGACGCAUGUGAAGCAGCCUAAGUUGAAUAAAUUUGUUUCGGAUAUUUUCCCGGACUGGUCUGCUGAUCACAACUACGACUUCUCGCAUUUGGAUAAAAUUUGGAUCAUUUGGCAUCCAUCUCUUUUUGUUAAGGUUGUUUCCAAAUCUCUACAGAUGAUCACUGUAGAGAUAACUUGGCCCCACUCUCAGUCUAAUCUAAUUAUCUCUGUCAUAUAUGCUUUUAAUGAUGUUGAUGAGAGGGCUAUCUUUUGGGCCGAGAUCUCUUCUUUAGCUUCCUUGCAGGUCUUGGAUUCUAAGCCCUGGAUGAUCCUCGGUGAUUUCAACCAAGUUAGAGAACCUGCGGAGCACUCAAAGCCAAAAUCAUUGAACUUGGAUAAGAGAAUGAGGGACUUCAAUCAAUGCUUGCUGAACGCGAAUGUAGAUGACCUUAACUUCAGAGGCACUUCUUUUACAUGGUGGAACAAACAGAAGAACUCACCUAUUGCCAAAAAGCUGGACAGAUGUCUUGUGAACGACGACUGGUACUUUCAAUUUCCGUCCUCGGUUGCGUUUUUCGGUAGUCCUGAAUUCUCUGAUCAUGCUGUCAUCUCUAUCUCCCUGGACCCGAGCCGAGUUAGAGCUAAGAAGCCAUUCAGAUUCUUCAACUUCCUUAUCAACUCUCCAGGGUUUAAAGAAAUGAUUUGUAUGAACUGGUACUUAUUCAAUGUCACCGGCUCAGCUAUGUUUAGACUCUCCAGGAAGCUUAAGCUGCUAAAGAAAUGCAUUAAAGACUUCAGCUGGCUCAACUACUCGGGUAUUGAGAGGAAAACGGCAGAAGCCCAUGAGAAGCUUACCCAGGCGCAAGCAGCUAUGCUUUCUGCUCCCUCAACGUCAAAUGCAUCUGCUGAGUUCCAAGCACUAAAGGAAUGGGAAGAACUGUCCGCUGCUGAAGCGGGGUUUUUUUUUCCAGAGAUCACGGAUUAAUUGGCUAGCUUUUGGUGAUGGAAACUCAAGGCUGUUUCACAGAUACACGGCGACCAGGCAAGCCAUUAACCAUAUCCACUUUUUGUAUACUGAUACUGGCCAGCGUACUGAGUCUCAGGAGGGUAUUCAGCAGCUUUGCGUUGAUUACUUCUCCAGCCUUCUGGGGAGUGAAACAUCUCAGCCAAUGUUUGUUCAAAGCGACCUCGACCUCCUCUUCAAUUUCAAAUGCUCUGAGGAGCAGACCGCAUAAUUCGAAAAAAAGUUUACUCCAGCAGAUAUAAAAGAUGCUUUCUUUUCUCUGCCUAGAAACAAAACUGGCGGGCCAGACGGAUACUCCUCAGAAUUAUUCAUAUCUACGUGGGAGAUAAUUGGACCGGAGGUGACUGAAGCCAUUUUAGAAUUCUUAGAAUCUGGCUGCCUGCUCAAGCAGUGGAACUCGGCCUCUCUUGCCCUCAUCCCCAAGAUCCCAAACGCGUCUCACCCCUCAGAAUUCAGGCCUAUCUCGUGCUUAAAUACAGUCUACAAGGUAAUCUCGAAGCUGCUUGCCUCGCGUCUCAAAGAAAUAUUGCCCCUGAUGGUUUCCAAGUCGCAAUCAGCUUUUCUUCCUGGGCGGCUUUUGGCAGAAAAUGUGUUGCUUGCCACUGAUCUGGUUCAUGGCUAUAAUACUCAGAACAUCUCCUCGCGUGGAAUGCUAAAAGUUGAUCUGAGGAAAGCGUUCGAUUGUGUGAGAUGGGACUUCAUUCUGGCGUCUCUGUGGGCACUGGCGAUCCCUGAAAGCUACAUCAGAUUGGUCUCGGAAUGUCUCUCCACUACAUCGUUCUCUGUCUCUAUAAACGGUGCCUUAGGUGGUUUCUUCAAUAGCUCUAAAGGAAUUAGGCAGGGAGAUCCUAUGUCUCCUUAUCUCUUCGUACUCACUAUGGAAUGCCUCUCAAGCCUUCUUGCUUCUAGAUUUGAGACAGGCAUUAUAGGUACCACCCGAGAACAGAGAAUGUGGCGAUCUCCCACCUCAUGUUUGCGGAUGAUGUUAUGAUCUUCUUUGACGGUAGCAGUAAUAGUCUUCAUGGCAUAGCUGAAUGUUUGGAUGACUUUGCCUCCUGGUCGGGAUUGUCUAUGAACGCCACCAAGACGGAACUCUUCACUGCGGGUCUGGACCAAACUGAAUCCUCAGCUCUAAUGGGGUAUGGAUUCCCAUCUGGCUCCUUUCCCAUUCGAUAUCUUGGACUCCCGCUGAUGUCCCGCAAACUUAAAAUUUCUGAAUAUGUUCCGCUGAUGACCAAGAUCACUAAGUGUUUCCAAGCGUGGUCCGUUAAACUCCUCUCUUUUGCGGGUAGAUUGCAGCUCUUGAAGACUGUUAUAUUUGGUAUCAUCAACUUCUGGUUUUCGGCGUUUAUGCUUCCUAAGGGGUGUAUUAAGAACAUUGAAUCACUUUGUUGUCGAUUCUUGUGGUCUGGUAACGUUGAUAAGAGAGGCAUCGCCAAGGUAGCAUGAACCACUGUCUGUUUACCUAAGCAAGAAGGUGGAUUGGGGCUUCGAAAUCUCGCGGUCUGGAACCAAACCCUAUGCCUAAAAUUCAUUUGGAUACUGGUCUCUAAGUCCCCUUCGCUCUGGGCUGUUUGGCACCGCAGCAUCCACCUAUCUACUCAGUCUUUUUGGGCCAUCGAACCUGUUCAAGCGGACUCCUGGGCAUGGAAGAGAUUGCUUAAGCUCAGAACCCUAGCUAUUAGAUUCUGCAAAUCUGUACUUGGAAAUGGUCGAACAACCAGUUUCUGGUUUGACGCUUGGACGCCAUUGGGUCAACUGAUCACUUACUUGGGGCCUCUCGGUCCAAGGGCUCUAAGAGUCAGAAACGAGGCGGUGGUAGCGGAUGUUGCUAGGGACUCAACAUGGUCUCUACCUCACCCCCGAUCUCAACAGGAAGUUGAUCUACACUCUCAUCUCACUACUAUAACUCUUCCUCUAUCUCAUGAUAUUGAUGACGAAUAUGAAUGGAUUGUUGGUGACUCUCCUUCUAAUGUUUUCAGAGCCUUUACCACAUGGGAAGCCCUGAGGCCAAAGCAGGAGAUUCAAGACUGGCAUGACGUGGUCUGGUUCAAAGGAUCAAUACCGAAGCAUGCCUUUACAAUGUGGACAGCUAACUAUGACAGGUUGCCAACAAAGGCCCGGCUUACUUCGUGGGGUCUCCCGUUAUCACCCCUCUGCUCCUUCUGUUCAAGAGAACCAGAAAUGAGGGAGCACUUGUUUCUGUCUUGCGAAUACAGUCUCGACGUCUGGAGCUACGUCUUCAGCAGAUGCCAUCCUCCUACCUCUCCACUCACGGACUGGGCAGAGCUACUCUCUUGGAUCCAAGUCCCUAACUCUAAGAGACUAUCUCUGCUUAGGAAAUUAGCAACUCAAACAGUGGUGUUUCAUCUGUGGAAGCAGCGGAAUAACUUAAUCCAUAACCAGAUCUCUUUCCCGGCGAUCGCGGUCUUCAGGAGCAUUGACAAAGAGCUGAGAAACGUUAUCUCCGCUAGAAGGAAGUAUAAGAAAUUCAGAGAUCUUAUGGCUAUAUGGCUUCGAUAAAUCCUUAGUCUCUAGUUUAAAAUGUUGACCCAUCUUGUUUUUCUCUUUUUUGCCAAAAUGGUUCAGAACCAAGAUAAUACUUUUUGUAGAAUCUAUCUUCAUAUAUGAUAUUUACAGCUUAGCAAAAAAAAAAAAAAAACGAGAUUUUUAACAUGGUUUUGUCUCCGGUUAACUCAUUAAACAUUUAGUAGAACCUUUGGUUCAACAAUACUAAACAAUUGAAAAACUUAAAAGCUACUUUUAAACUAAAUAAAUAAUUUAAAUCUAUUGGUUCCUUCAUUAAUUAUUUUUGCAAUAUAUGAGAGAUAACGGAAUCUAAACAGCUUGCCGUUUUAAAGCUCAACAAAACGCUGUCAAGUUCAGCAUGUGCAGGUCACACGGCGCAAAUUUAGCAACCCUGACGGCGUGCAAUCUAUCCAAUCAUUCACUCAUUCGUAUCUGAGGAGAGGGAAACGAAACGAUAAAAGAAAAAAUCAAAUUUUUUUAAGCAAGUCAAUUCCUAUCUGUAAUAAUUCUUCACCCAAAUCUAGAGAGAGAAAGAGCAAAUAAUGAGUCUGUUUCAAGAGAGAGAGAGAAAGUAGGCAAGGAAGACGGUCAGUGACUGAAGAUCACUCACUUUCACACCCUCCUCCGAGAUCUCAUUGGCUGAUCUUUCCGUCUCCGCCGGGAGAUGGAUUAAAGCAUUGGUUGGUUUCACCAAGUCAAAGUCUUCAAAGAAGGAUGAUAAUGUGAAGAUUGCUACCAAGAGCCGGUUUGGGA